rnacentral:tRNA from 1 species
UGGGCUAUAGCCAAGCGGUAAGGCAUCGCACUUUGACUGCGACACGCGUUGGUUCGAAUCCAGCUAGCCCAG